rnacentral:misc_RNA from 1 species
GAAAUGCGAUAAGUAAUGUGAAUUGAAGAAUUCAGUGAAUCAUCGAAUCUUUGAACGCACAUUGCGCCCGCCAGCACUCUGGCGGGCAUGCCUGUUCGAGCGUCAUUUCAACCCUCAGAACCCCUUGCGGGAUCUGGCGUUGGGGAUUGGCAUCCAGCCAGCCCCGAAAUCUAGUGGCGGUCCCUCCGCGACCUCCCCUGUGCAGUAGCGAUACCUCGCAGCGGGACAGCGGUCUGACCACGCCGUAAAACCCCCAACUUCUCAAGGUUGACCUCGAAUCAGGUAGAAAUACCCGCUGAACUCAGGC